rfam:Gorilla gorilla gorilla genomic chromosome, chr7, whole genome shotgun sequence
GCCAGGCAUGGUGGUGCAUGCCUGUAAUCCCAGCUACUUGGGAGGCUGAGGCAGGACAAUUGCUUGAACCCGGGAGGUGGAGGUUGCCGUGAGCUGAGAUUGCACCACUGCAUCCCAGCCUGGGUGACAGAGCAAGACUCUGUCUCAA